rnacentral:lncRNA from 1 species
GGAUCCGAAAUCCAUCCAUGUCAAGAAUAAAGAGGGGAAGACAGAAAAAGGAAAUAUAUAAAAGAAAAAAAGAAGAAUUUUUUUAAAAAAAAAAGGGGAAAAGAAAAGAAAGAAGUAAAGAAGAAUAAAUAAAGAGGAAACAAAGAAACGAGGGGAUAAAAAAAGAACAACAAAAAAAAAAAAAAAGAAAAAAAGGAAA